rnacentral:rRNA from 1 species
CUACUUCAGUAGGGAGGAAGGUAGUGUAGUUAACUACCUGCAUUAUUUGACGUUACCUACAGAAGAAGCACCGGCUAACUCGUCGCCAGCAGCCGCGGUAAUACGGGAGGGUGCGAGUACUUAAGUCGGAAUUACGUGGGACGUAAAGCGCAUGCAGGCGGCCUAGUUAAGUCAGAUGUAGAAACGGCCCGGGGUACUUAACCGUACGGUAAUUGCUAUUUAGAAACGUGGCGAGGCUAGAGUCUUGUAGAGGGGGUAGAAUUUCAGGUGUAGCGGUGAAAUGCGUAGAGAUCUGAAGGAAUACCAGUGGCGAAGGCGGCCCCCUGGACAAAGACUGACGCUCAGAUGCGAAAGCGUGGGGAGCAAACAGGAUUAGAUACCCUGGUAG